UUACAUUAAUAUAUUUUCCAUCCUUUAACUUUUACCCAACUUUCACAAACAUCUUCAUUUUUAAAAUGGGAUUGUUUUAGAAAAUAUAAUGUUGUUUUGUAUUUUUAUGUAACUGGACAAUUUCUGUCUUAAUGGAAGCAUUUAGAUCAUGGACAUGAAAAUAAAUUUAUAGACAUGCAUUUAAGUCAACUGACUUUCUAGUUGUUUUCCAUGUUUCAUUUUUCUUAUUCCUAACUUUCCUUUUUUUCUGCCUGAUGGUGGAUUUAGUAUUUUUAUCAUUCAGUUAUAUUUUCUAAACUCUUGGCUUAUUACUUAGGUCACUUAAAAAAAAUAGUGCUUGUUCUAGGGUUAACAAAGUUAAUAUUUAAUUCAUCACACUCUAUCCUCAAAGAAUAUUGUACUAGUUAAUGUACAGUUAAAACAUCUUAUGAUAGUAUGCUUACACUUCACUUCAUUCUUUAUCAUAUUUUUAUUACUUUUAGUAAAGUUGUAAUCCCCAUACACAUGUGUUUACACUAUGAAUUAUUUGUGGCUGAUCAAUAAAACAAUAAAAUGCCCUCUGUGUGGACCUCGAAAAUUGGAUACAUAUCUCAGGCAAUUUUGAAAGUUAUUAUAGCCAAGGGUGAGGGUGCGCACCCAUGACAUGGCCUCAGGAGGUACUGGUGACAUGUGUCCAAGGUGGUCUGAGCACAGCUUGGUUUUUAUAUUUAAGAAGACACCAGACAUGGAGCAACAUAUGUAAGUGAACAUUUCUUAAGUCUGGUCUGGAAAGGAUGGAUAACUUGAAGGAAAAGUGAAACGUCUAAAAGGGGAUAGAAGGCUUCCCUGUCACAGGUAGGUGACAGACAGACUAUAGCAUUUUUUGACUUACUGAUUAACCCUUCCAAAGGAGGCAGUCAGAUAUGCAUUUAUCUCAGUGAGCAGAGGAAUGACAAUGAAUAGACUAGGAGCCUGGGUUAUCUUAAGCAGUUCGCAGCUUGAAUUUUCCUUAACUUAGUGAUUUGGGGGCCGAGAUAUUUCCCUUUCACAUCCACAUCUAUAUCUUUACCAUUAUCUGGGUUUGUAAUUCAUUUGUGUAAAUUCACAUUUCUGCCUGUUUUCUGCCUGAGAAAAUGUGUUAACAUAUCUAGUAAUGCAUUUCUACUGGGGUGAAUAAUCGAAAUCUUAUUUGUCUGAAAAAAUUAUGUCAUUUUUGUGUUUAUUAUAGUAAUAACUGUAAGCCCACCGGAAGAAAUAUUUCUCUCUCAAAAUAGUUUUCUAUUUUCUAGCAAAACCAUUUGUUACAGUUCCUGUCUCAGUGCUGAAAUUCCUUAUUUGCUCAUCCCUGAUGUCUACUUUGUCCAACAGUGAUAUGGUUUGCAUCUAUGUUCCCACCCACAUCUCAUAUUGAAUUGUAAUCCCCAAUGUUGGAGGUGGCGCCUGGUGGGAGGUUUUUGGGUCAUGGGAGUAGAAUUCUUAGAUAUGGUCUAGCACCACCUGUGUGGUGCUAUUCUCUUGAUAGUGAGUUCUCAUGAAAAGUGAUUGUUAAAAUGUAUGUAGGAACUCGCCGAUCUCUUCAUCCUGUUCUGGCCAUGUGAGGAGCUAGGUCCUCCCUUGCCUCUUGGAUAUUUGAAAGUUAAAUGAGGCCCUCCUUGCCAUGCAUCCUGUACAGCCUAUAAAACCUGAGCCAUUUACAGAUACCUAAAAAUGUGGAACCAGCUUUUGCACUGGGUAGUAGGCAGAGGUUGAAAGAGUUUGGAGGGCUCAUAGGAAGACGGAAAGAUGAAGGAAAUGUUGAAACUUCCUAAAGACUUGUUUAAUGGGUUGUCACUAGGUGGCUGAUAUGAACACUGAACACCAGGCUGAGGAGGUCACAGAUAGAAAUUAGGAACUUACUUGGAAAUGGAGUAAAGGUCACCUUUGUUAUAGAUUAGAAAAACUAUGGUGGCAUUGUGGCUCUGCCCUAGGGAUUUGGGAACUUCUGAACUUGAGAGUGAUGGUUUCGUGUUUCUGGCAGAAGAAAUUCCUAUGCAGCACAGCAUUCAAGGUCGAGCCUCGUUGCUUCUAAUAGCCCAUGCUCAUGUGUGUCAACAACAACAACAAAAAUGAUGGAAACUGGCACUUAUAUUUAAAAGGAAAGCAGCGUGUAAAGGUUUUGAAAAUUUGCAGUCUGGCCACAGAAAACAGGAAACAAAAUCCUGUUUGCUGGGGAGGAAUUCAAACCAGCUGAAGAAAUCUGCUUAAGUUACAAGGAGCUGAAUGUUAAUGUCCAAGACAAUGGGGAGGCCUCAAAGGCAUUUCAGAGACCUCUGCAGCAGCCCCUCCUUCCAUCACAGGACAUGAAGCCUAGGAGGGGAGAAUGUUUUCAUGGGCCACACACAGGGUCCCAGUGCCCUGUGCAGUGUCUGGAUACAGCUCUCAAUAUCCUGGCCACUCCAGCACCUCUUAUACAUGCUUCAGCCACUGGUUCAUGAGGUGCAAACCAUGAUCCUUGGUGGCUUCCACUUUGUGUUAAGCCUGUGGGUACACAGGGAAAGAGUUGAGGCUUGGGAGCCUCAGCCUAGAUUUCUGAGAAUGUAUGAAGAAGCAUGGAUGUCCAAGCAGAAUUCUGCUACAGGGGUUGGGGGGAGUCCUAAUGGAGAAUCUUGUCUAGGGCAGUGCAGAGGGGAAAUGUGGGGUUAGAGCACCAACACAGAGUCCACACUGGAGAACUUCCCAGUGGAGUUGUGAGAAGAGGGCCACCAUCCUCCAGACCCCAGAAUGGGAGAUCCACUCACAGCUUGUAAUUAUGCCUGGAAAAGGCAUAGGUACUCAGUGCCAGCCAACUGGGGACUGAACCCUGUAAAGUCACAGGGUUAGAGCUGCCCGAGGCUUUGUGAGCCCACCCCUUGCACCAGUGUGCCCUGGAUGUGAAACAAUGAAUUGAAGGAGGUCAUUUGGAGCUUUAAGAUUCAAUGACUUUCCUUCUGGGUUUCAAACUUGCACAGGACCUUAAACUCCUUUCUAUUGGCUGAUUUCUCCAGAGAAUAUACCCAGUGCUUCUACCUCCACUAUGUCUUAGAAGUAAUUAACUUGUUUUUUAUUUUAUAGGCUGACGGGCAGAAGGGAUUAGCCUUGUUCAGAUGAGACCUUGGAUUGGGGACUUUUGAGUUAAUGCAUCAAUGAGUUGCAACUUUGGGGGACUGUUGGGUUUUAUUUUGCAAAGUGAGAAGGAUGUGAGAUUUUGGAGGGGCAAGGGCAGAAAUAUAAGGUUCAGAUCUGUGUCCCUACCCAAAUCUCAGGUUGCACUGUAAUUCUCAAUGUAGGAGGUAGGGCCUGGUGGGAAGUUAUUGGAUCAUAGGGGUGGAAUUCUGGUGGAAUUAAAUAUUGGG